UCUGGCAGUGAUGACACACUUGCCCUCACUGAGAACACUGUUCAAUAAUGAGUCUCACCGUGUGCUCAAAGGAGCUGAGCCAGA